ensembl:lncRNA
GUGAGACUGCUGGGGGUCAGGGGUCGUUAAGAGGCUGAGGUCAUCUGUUGUAGGGUCAGGGGUCAUUAAGAGGCUGAGGUCAUCUGCUGUAGGGUCAGGGGUCGUUAAGAGAGAACCAAACCAAUAUCCCCUGCAUCUCUGCUCCACAAUCGGGAAGUGUUGCAUUCAGCCUUCUGUUUAAUUGACGGGUGAUCUGUAUUCCCCCAACCAAUCAGGGAAGAUGAGCUCUGAGUGGUUAAAAAAUGUAAAACUGGAAACUGAUAUUCUCACAGAAGAAUUGAACCCACCAAUACCUGACAGACGGCUUGGGUGUCACCAACA